rnacentral:pre_miRNA from 7 species
UUCUCGGGUUUCUGGGUGCCUCCAAAUCCCGGAUAAGCCCACAAGGUGUAAGACCCCCUUUCGGGGACCCCCCACUCUAGUCUUCGGAGAGAGAGAACAUGCAAAGAAACACAAGAAUCC